rnacentral:SRP_RNA from 1 species
UCGUGCUAGACGGGGAGCUAGCGGUGCCCUGUACCCGCAAUCCGCUAUAGCGGGGUCGAAUUCCCGUCCGAGGUCCCGGCCUGUUGCACCGGCCGGCGCUCGGGGCGUUGACGACCGGGUCCUGCGCGGCAGGAGCCUGUGAACCCCGCCAGGUCCGGAAGGAAGCAACGGUAAGCAGGGACUCCUGGGUGCCGCAGGGGUGCCUGGCCUGAGCCACUGGAGGCCGGUACGGCAGGAGGUCGCCGAUCGACGACGGGUGCACGA